rnacentral:snRNA from 1 species
AUCUCUUUGCCCUUUGGCUUAGGUCAAGUGAAACAACUGUUCAUUUUUGCUCAAUCUCUGAAAUCUCCCUAUGGUGCAGCAAGGAUUAACUAGUUUGUGGACUCGGCUCCUCGGUCACUGAGCUCCGCUCAUAUUCUUGGGGCACAGUGUCGCCUCUACUGCACUGACGGAGGUUGACGCAAUGGGCA